rnacentral:lncRNA from 1 species
GGGAAGCGCUGGGGGUCGCGUGCCCUUGGCCGGAGGCCUGGUCACCCGCAGGCCCUGCCAUCCUCGGCUUGGCCGCUGCUGCCCGCGCGCCUGUGGCGGAGCGAGCCUGCCUCCAGGGCAGCCUCACCGCCUGGAUCCUGGGCAGGAGACCUCCCAGGUCCCUUCCUCUCUCCAGCUGUCUGGAAUGGAGCCGCCAUGUCUGGUGCUCAAGCGGCCAGCUCUGACCCAGAGGGUUAACCAGUGUUGGUUCCUGUUGUUUACAACCAAGAAUCCUGAGAAGUUCAUAUGUAGCCCACACAUAAGCUGAAGUAUUGCCUUAUGACAUAUUCUGAAUAUUCCAAUUAUUUUGCAAAUAAUUCCACUAAGAGAUUAAUACAUUCUAGAGCAUGUAGCUGUGGUUCAUUCAUUUUCA